rnacentral:misc_RNA from 1 species
GUGGAAAAUGCAUUCAAUUUCGCCUCCUAUUUGAGUAAGGCUGGAAAGGGCAGGUCUAUUUCAUAGGAUGUAAAAAGUGAAGGUCUCUCCAGUCUUGCUCUUCCUCUUGCUAGGCGAGGCGCCAGUCUUCUUCAUCUAGCUGCAUUGCAUCAAUAUGGAUCAAAUAAUCCAUUGGGUGUACAUUCAGAGAUGGAUAAAAUUGCUUUUUACCCAUCUAGGUUUUUUUCUCAGUUGGUUAGCUAGUUCAAUUUGUUAUGUAAUUUUGCUAGUCGUGGGUUAGCCCACUGGUGGAUUGAGCUUGACGCUUCCAUUCCUUCAAUUCAUGCCGAUUGAUGUUCCCAUAGUAAUCU